GUUAUAACCAGGUUAUAACCUGGUUAUAUCCAGGUAAUGUCUCAGGUUAUAACCAGGUAAUGUCUCAGGAUAUAACCAGGUUAUAACCAGGUUAUAAC